CUGGAUUUAGGAACUGGCAUCCAGGAAUAUAAUAAAUUAUCAAAAAGCUGAAAUUCAGCACACACAUUUUACACAAUUCAUUUCACACUACAUUUUACAAAUCAUUUUAUGAUUGAAAAAUACAACUUAUUAAAUUAUUAAUUCGUUAAUUAAACACAGGCGAAUUUGACACAUACGCUUGAAAAUUUGCGCAAAAUAGGCAACGGUACAGUGAAAAAAGUUUUGGUGUUGCGCUUUUAAUUUUCGCCUGUCCACACUUGGGAACUCUUUUGAAGACGAGGUUUUGCUUCUCAGAAUUCGGCAGAGUGCAAAAAUGCCAAAAAUGUUUCCUGGCAAUUCAGAAAUAUCUUUCCCAAAAUAAUUGUUUUGUUGUGAAUGCAAUGAUUCUGGGUUUGUCCUAAAAGAUUUGUCCUUCUUUGAGAUUCGAGACAUGGCCAAAAAACGGUAUGUUUCCUGAUUUCCCCAGUCUAGGAAACAAUGUUUCUAGGUU